GAUAGGGUGGCAAACGGGUGAGUAAUACAUGGGUGAUCUACCUUAGGGAUGGGGAUAUCCUUCCGAAAGGAGGGGCAAUACCGAAUAUUGUCCGGAGCCGUGAAGGGUUCCGGGGAAAGGGAGGCCUCUGACACAAGCUUUCGCCUUAAGAUGAGCCCAUGGCCCAUCAGCUAGUUGGUAGGGUAAAGGCCUACCAAGGCUACGACGGGUCGCUGGUCUGAGAGGACGACCAGCCACACUGGCACUGAGAUACGGGCCAGACUCCUACGGGAGGCAGCAGUGAGGAAUAUUGCGCAAUGGGGGAAACCCUGACGCAGCAACGCCGCGUGUGGGAAGAAGGCCUUCGGGUCGUAAACCACUUUUACUCGGGACGAAAAAGGGAUAUCAAAUAAAUAUCCCCGAUGACGGUACCGUGAGAAUAAGCCACGGCUAACUCUGUGCCAGCAGCCGCGGUAAGACAGAGGUGGCAAGCGUUGUUCGGAAUUACUGGGCGUAAAGAGUCUGUAGGUGGUUUGUCAAGUCUUUGGUGAAAGGCCGUAGCUUAACUAUGGGAAUGCCAAAGAGACUGGCAGGCUGGAGGCUGGGAGAGGGAAGCGGAAUUUCUGGUGUAGCGGUGAAAUGCGUAGAUAUCAGAAGGAAGGCCGGUGGCGAAGGCGGCUUCCUGGAACAGUCCUGACACUGAGAGACGAAAGCGUGGGGAGCAAACAGGAUUAGAUACCCUGGUAGUCCACGCCCUAAACGAUGGGUACUA
rnacentral:rRNA from 1 species